UAGGGAAUCUUCCGCAAUGGACGCAAGUCUGACGGAGCAACGCCGCGUGUGUGAAGAAGGUCUUCGGAUCGUAAAGCACUGUUAUUAGAGAAGAACACCCUGUAGAGUAACUGUUACAGGAUUGACGGUAUCUAACCAGAAAGUGACGGCUAACUAUGUG
rnacentral:rRNA from 1 species